rnacentral:rRNA from 1 species
ACCGGUGCAAGCGAGGUACCUGUAUGGUAGGCAAAUCCGCCAUACAAAGGGAAGACGUGAUGCGGAGUGAACUAAAAGUAACGAAGUCCAUGAGCUAGCUGUCAAGAAAAGCCGCUAUUGUUUAUAUAGUACCCGUACCCCAAACCGACACAGGUGGAUGAGGAGAGAAUCCUAAGGCCGACGGAAGAAGUAUUGUUAAGGAACUCGGCAAAAUGACUCCGUAACUUCGGGAUAAGGAGUGCCACUGUAACAGGUGGUCGCAGAGAAUUGGUCCAAGCAACUGUUUAGCAAAAACACAGGUUUAUGCAAAACCGUAAGGUGAAGUAUAUGAGCUGACGCCUGCCCGGUGCUGGAAGGUUAAGGGGAGUGCUUAGCGUAAGCGAAGGUGCGAACUCAAGCCCCAGUAAACGGCGGCCGUAACUAUAACGGUCCUAAGGUAGCGAAAUUCCUUGUCGGGUAAGUUCCGACCCGCACGAAAGGCGUAAUGAUUUGGACGCUGUCUCGACAAUACAUCCGGUGAAAUUGAAAUACCAGUGAAGAUGCUGGUUACCUGCGCCAGGACGGAAAGACCCCAUGGAGCUUUACUCCAGCUUGAUACUGGGAUUCGGUAUUGCAUGUACAGGAUAGGUGGGAGACUAUGAGAUGAUGACGUCAGUUGUCAUGGAGUCGUUGUUGGGAUACCACCCUUGCAGUAUUGGGUUUCUAACCUGCCAUCGUUAUCCGGUGGGGGGACAAUGUCAGGUGGGGAGUUUGACUGGGGCGGUCGCCUCCGAAAGAGUAUCGGAGGCGCUCAAAGGUUCCCUCAGAAUGGUUGGAAACCAUUCAAAGAGUGCAAAGGCAGAAGGGAGCUUGACUGUGACACCGACGGGUGGAACAGGUACGAAAGUAGGACUUAGUGAUCCGGUGGUAUAAAGUGGGAUUGCCAUCGCUCAACGGAUAAAAGCUACCCUGGGGAUAACAGGCUUAUCACUCCCAAGAGUUCACAUCGACGGAGUGGUUUGGCACCUCGAUGUCGGCUCAUCGCAUCCUGGGGCUGUAGUAGGUCCCAAGGGUUGGGCUGUUCGCCCAUUAAAGCGGUACGCGAGCUGGGUUCAGAACGUCGUGAGACAGUUCGGUCCCUAUCCGGCGUGGGCGUAGGAUAUUUGAGAGGAGCUGUCCUUAGUACGAGAGGACCGGGAUGGACUGACCUCUGGUGCAUCUGUUGUUUUACCAAA